rnacentral:rRNA from 1 species
UACAGAGGUCUCAAGCGUUGUUCGGAUUCAUUGGGCGUAAAGGGUGCGUAGGCGGCGCGGUAAGUCGGGUGUGAAAUCCCUCGGCUUAACCGGGGAACUGCGUCUGAUACUGGAUGGCUUGAAUCCGGGAGAGGGAUGCGGAAUUCCAGGUGUAGCGGUGAAAUGCGUAGAUAUCUGGAGGAACACCGGUGGCGAAGGCGGCAUCCUGGACCGGCAUUGACGCUGAGGAGCGAAAGCCAGGGGAGCAAACAGG